UCAAACAUGGCUUGAUAUUGCUAACAGGUUUUCUUUUACUUAUCAGAUUCCCCCAGAAACUGUAAAUCUGGAUAAAAUGAGGAAAUGAGGAACUUGCAUGCAUGAGAAGCAUUGGUCAACAACUCUCUGGAAGUAUCCUUGGGAACCAAAGAGCAAAUACAAGAAAGAGAGAGGAUUUUCCAGACACCUGCCAGGCUUCUGACAGACCACAUGAUCAUUUCAGAGCCGAGAUGGAGUGGGGGAGGCUGUGGAUCAUGUGUGCUGGAGACAUCCUAUGUGUUCGGAAAGGAAAUCGAACUUCAGCAGUAUGACCCACCGUGCUGGAUGUUUUCGAGAAGUUUAAUCAAAAUUCUCAUCAGAAACCAAAUGAGGGGGUUCUUCAGAAAGAACAACCACCCAGUGUGAUUUACUUCAUCAGAUUAAGCGACUGAGGCCACAUCACUUCAUUCAUGCAGUGUUGGUUGGGCUGCAAGUCGCCAGGCUACUGAUGGGCCCAUUUCCUGCUUCUCCAUUCAGGUUGACUGCAGUGACGUUGGGAGGAGUA